rnacentral:lncRNA from 1 species
AAAUGACUUGUGCCUUGGCCUGCAGUCCCUCAGUCUGACAGGCUGGGACCGACCCUGGAGCACCCAGGACUCAGAUUCCUCAGCCCAGAGCAGCACACACUCGGUACUGAGCAUGCUCCAUAACCCACUGGGAAAUGUCCUAGGAAAACCCCCCUUGAGCUUCCUGCCUCUGGAUCCCCUUGGGUCUGACUUGGUGGACAAGUUUCCAGCACCCUCAGUUAGAGGAUCACGCCUGGACACCCGGCCCAUCCUGGACUCUCGAUCUAGCAGCCCCUCUGACUCAGACACCAGUGGCUUCAGCUCUGGAUCAGAUCAUCUCUCAGAUUUGAUUGUAUGUAACUCAUUUGGGAAAGGGGAGUUGUGGGUGGAGUUGCCUGUGUGUGUCCAAGGGGAAGGAGGGUACAAUAUCUAUGGGAUGCCUGUCCCCUGGAAUGCAGGCUGGGAGAUGGGAUGAGGGGAGGAGUGGAGAUUAUUGUGGACAUUUGUAGAGUUCUCAUCCUUAACAGGAUAGAGGAUGCUUUGAAGACCCAUUGAGCAAUACAUUGCAGGACCUGAGCUCAGGACUCUCA